rnacentral:rRNA from 1 species
CAUCGUUUUAUGAAUUUUUAUAUAAAAUAUAACCUGCCCAAUGAAGUAUUUAAAUGGCCGCGGUAUUUUGACCGUGCAAAGGUAGCAUAAUCAUUAGUUUCUUAAUUAGAAGCUGGAAUGAAUGGUUGGACGAGAAAAUUUCUGUCUUUGUUUUAAAAAUUAGAAUUUUAUUUUUAAGUCAAAAAGCUUAAAUUUUUAUGAAAGACGAGAAGACCCUAUAGAGUUUUACUUAUAAUUUGUAUUAUUAUUUAAUUAGUUGAUUAAUUGAUUUAAUUAUAUAUAAGUUUGAUUGGGGUGAUUGUUAGAUUUAAAUAACUCUAAUUAUUUAUUUUUUAUUAAUUUAUAUUUUUUUGAUCCAUAUUUUUUGAUUAGAAGAUUAAAUUACCUUAGGGAUAACAGCGUAAUUUUUAUGGAGAGUUCUUAUCAAUAUAAAAGUUUGCGACCUCGAUGUUGGAUUAAAAUUAAUUUUUGGUGGAGAAGCUAAAUAAUUAAGUCUGUUCGACUUUUAAAAUUUUACAUGAUCUGAGU